rnacentral:rRNA from 1 species
AAAUCAGGUGGGACUACCCGCUGAACUUAAGCAUAUCAAUAAGCGGAGGAAAAGAAAAUAACUAUGAUUCCCUUAGUAACGGCGAGUGAACAGGGAAAAGCCCAAAUUUGUAAUCUC